rnacentral:rRNA from 1 species
AUUGAACGCUGGCGGAAUGCUUUACACGUGCAAGUCGAGCGGCAGCGCGGGGCAACCUGGCGGCGAGCGGCGAACGGGUGAGUAAUGUAUCGGAACGUGUCCUGUCGUGGGGGAUAGCCCGGUGAAAACCGGAUUAAUACCGCAUACGAUCGAGAGAUGAAAGUGGGGGACCGCAAGGCCUCACGCGAUAGGAGCGGCCGAUAUCUGAUUAGCCAGUUGGUGGGGUAAAGGCCCACCAAGGCUUCGAUCAGUAGCUGGUCUGAGAGGAUGAUCAGCCACACGGGGACUGAGACACGGCCCAGACUCCUACGGGAGGCAGCAGUGGGGAAUUUUGGACAAUGGGGGCAACCCUGAUCCAGCCAUUCCGCGUGAGUGAAGAAGGCCUUCGGGUUGUAAAGCUCUUUUGUCCGGGAAGAAACGGUUUUGGCUAAUAACCAAGACUACUGACGGUACCGGAAGAAUAAGGACCGGCUAACUACGUGCCAGCAGCCGCAGUAA